UAUUUUAAUAGCUUAUAAAGAGCAUGAUAUUGAAGAUAUCAAGGAAGUAAAUUUACUUUAAAAUAU
rnacentral:tRNA from 3 species